UGAGCUGGCUAAGCAAUCGCUGGAUUGAAAAAUCGAGAGGAAAGUCCGGGCUCCCUAGGGUAGAGUGCCAGGUAACGCCUGGGAGGUGAGAGCCUACGGAAAGUGCCACAGAAAAUAUACCGCCAGGCUACUCUGUAGCAAGGUAAGGGUGAAAAGGUAUGGUAAGAGCAUACCGCAUGGCUGGUAACAGGCAUGGCAGGGCAAACCCCGCUUGGAGCAAGACGAAUAGGAAUCAAAGCAAGCGUUUGCUUGCCAGGUGUUACCCGCACCUUUGAUUCGGGUAAGUUGCUUGAGCUAUUUGGUGACAAAUAGCCUAGAGGAAUGAUUGCUCACGACAGAACCCGGCUUAUCGGCCAGCUCAAAUU
rnacentral:RNase_P_RNA from 2 species